rnacentral:rRNA from 1 species
UACGUAGGGGGCAAGCGUUGUCCGGAUUUAUUGGGCGUAAAGAGCGUGUAGGCGGCUUGGUAGGUCCGCUGUGAAAACUCGAGGCUCAACCUCGAGAUGUCGGCGGAAACCGCUUGGCUAGAGUCCGGAAGAGGAGAGUGGAAUUCCUGGUGUAGCGGUGAAAUGCGCAGAUAUCAGGAAGAACACCUAUGGCGAAGGCAGCUCUCUGGGACGGUACUGACGCUGAGACGCGAAAGCGUGGGGAGCGAACAGG